UCCUACGGGAGGCAGCAGUGGGGAAUAUUGCACAAUGGGCGCAAGCCUGAUGCAGCAACGCCGCGUGAGGGAUGACGGCCUUCGGGUUGUAAACCUCUUUUAGCAAGGAAGAAGCGAAAGUGACGGUACUUGCAGAAAAAGCGCCGGCUAACUACGUGCCAGCAGCCGCGGUAAUACGUAGGGCGCAAGCGUUAUCCGGAAUUAUUGGGCGUAAAGAGCUCGUAGGCGGUUUGUCGCGUCUGCUGUGAAAACCCGAGGCUCAACCUCGGGCCUGCAGUGGGUACGGGCAGACUAGAGUGCGGUAGGGGAGAUUGGAAUUCCUGGUGUAGCGGUGGAAUGCGCAGAUAUCAGGAGGAACACCGAUGGCGAAGGCAGAUCUCUGGGCCGUAACUGACGCUGAGGAGCGAAAGGGUGGGGAGCAAACAGGCUUAGAUACCCUGGUAGUCCACCCCGUAAACGUUGGGAACUAGUUGUGGGGUCCAUUCCACGGAUUCCGUGACGCAGCUAACGCAUUAAGUUCCCCGCCUGGGGAGUACGGCCGCAAGGCUAAAACUCAAAGGAAUUGACGG
rnacentral:rRNA from 1 species